rnacentral:lncRNA from 1 species
UUGUGUCAACCAACCAUAUCAAUAUAUCAUCCCCUGCAUGCAUUAUCAGUCUUUAGGAAGAGGGACGACCAUGGGUGCCAAGCUCCUCCUCGUUGUCUUUCUCGUCAUCACCACUGCCGGCCAUCCCAUCUGGGCGCAGGAGGGAAUCACGCAAGAAACAGCUGAUCUUGUGCAGCAGACAAUCGAGGCUGGAUUGCAGACCUUGUCUGGGACGGUAAAAGCAGGACUGGCAGCUACAGCCACGACGGUGAGGGCGCUUCUGCUCGACGGGGUGAUCGGGUAGCCUAUAGCGGCAGCACCGGUGGCGAUGAUGGGACCUACUGCGAUAGCCGAUGGGACAAAUCCUUAGUUAAGUACUUGCAUAAUCAGUUAUUAAUAAAUAACUGCUUAUAAUAAGCUUGUUAUGGAGUACUCUGAACUUAUCCUCGCAUUGCAUAUAUACGGUGGUGACCUAACCACUCACAUGUGUGCACUGCAUGUAUCCCUAUAGAAUGAUGAAUAUCUAUAUGUAAUUAUGUAUGGUGUCAUAUCCACUAAUAAAAUGGUAAGCGCGCGCUAGUCUAGUGGUGGUUGCCUUCGGCAUGGUGUGUACUACUUGCCAAGAGGCAGAUCGAAGUAUAUUGUUGAGUUUGUCUUCCCCAUGAUGUCUCAUUUGUAUAGCCACCAAACCAAGUUUCAAAGGCUGUGGUUUGACAGAACAUCGACACCAUUGUGACGCUAAAACUUAAAUUCUCUAGCGACAACAGUGAAAAAGAUUGUUCGAAAAAAGAACAGCGAAAAAGAUGGGCAAACUGAGAAAAAGAAAAGACAGGCCACUAUAUAAAAAGGCGUUAAAUUCACACCCCCAUACAGAUGCCAUCACGUGCGCAUAUCUGCAGUAGCACUACUAUAAACGCGUUAUAUUAAAGGGCGUCUCUAGUAACUGGCCGAUAGGAGUCGCUGGCCCGGCGAGAUCAACAAGCAUCUAUAAUAAGAUGCGUGUAGUGAGGUCUGAGGCUAUGGACGCAUUUCAGGUACAUACAUCGGUAAUAACAUCUCUUAUUAUAGAUGCGUGUUAUCGUAUAAACUCUUGUUCACAACACAUGUUUGAGUAACAUCUCUUAUUGCACACACAUAUGGUUUUGCAGAUGCUUGUUUACAACACACGUCUCGAGUACUUGUACUUGUACCAGACAUGUGUUCUGUACACGUGUCUAUAGUAAACGUGCAUCAAUAUUAAACCCUAAACGCGUCUCUGGUAGUAAUAAUCGCCAGCAUUUCAAAGCUCGACAGGGUUCUCAACAGAGGUACCAAGGACCCGUUAGUCAAUGGAACCAUAGUCAGUAUUCUCAACGUUUCUAGAACUAGUAGCAGAAUGGAAAUCAAGGCUCUCAGUUUCUACAACGUAACUCUUACAAGCAACAGAGUGGUCAGCAGACACCCCGUUUAGAGAAUUCUAAUACCACUCCUAUGAAGAAUAGUGCUCCCAACACUCCAAACAUGUGUUUCCACUGUGGGAAGGAGGGACAUAUGUCUUAUAAAUGUCUAAAGAAGCCCAAUCAGCAGAACAACAACCAGAGGUCUACUCCCAAUGCGGGAAGAGUCAACCAUGUGUCUGCAGAUAACCCCUACAAUUGUUUUUAAUUUUGGAGCUUCGCAUUCAUUUAUUUCAUAGGCAUUUGUGAAAGCAUCUAGGCCCCUAAUGAGUUUCGGUGACUAAUGACAAUGUAGAUUACUAUGACUAGUGUGUGUUUUGCAGAGGUAAAGUCAUUUAUGUUAAGUCAUGGUAAUGGUGAUCGAUGGACUAGAUCGUUCAUGCCGACUUAAUGGUGGAAAUCAUUUUGGUUUUUAAAGGAUGGAUGGACAUCGUCGGGACUAGACUAGGUCUAGGUGCCAUAUGGUGAAGAUGGGCACUUAGAGUAGUUUAGGACUUUGUUUUUCCUUUGACCAUACUAUUAACAGGGGCAUUUAGCGGGUAGCUUGACCCAAGCAAGGCUUUAUGUUUAGGUGUGGUGUACACUUGGUAAACCUAGUACUAGGCAGCUCUGAGAAAGUCCUUAGAUCAACAAAUUUUGUUUUAGAAAGAUCGCGUUUCGACGAAGUUUGGGUGCCGAAACAGGCACCAGACGCUAGCACCGGACGCUUUGUGAGCGCGUCCGGUCGUGCUGACUUGGGUCAGCGGGUCUGGGUGCCUAGGGUUAGGCACCGGACGCACGCAACGGACUCGUUGGGGUGCGGCCGGUCCCAUACCCUGGGAGGUCUGCACUUUGACCUCACAUCGGACAUGGGCACCGGACCCACCGUGGUGCGUCCGGUCCCAUACCCACAGAGUAUUGCAGCUUGCCCCUCACACCGGAUGCGGUCUAGCUGAGUCACCGGACACACUGAGAGUGCAUCCGGUGCUUGUCAGAGGCAAGUACAUUUAGCCGUUAAUGGGGCACUAUACGCUCUACGCAGCGUGUCCGGUGCAACAUUGAGCGCGUUUGGUGCUCCCGUUUUCUGUGGAAUUCGGGUGGCCGGCCCUUGGACUUGAUGGGGAGUAUUUAUACUUCUCCACCUCGUCCAUGGGAGGUCUCUUGCCCAUUUGAUCAGCUGAGAAACACCUUGUGGUUCAAGGGAGAAGCAAGAGCCUAGAGAGGAUUGAGAAUUGAGUGAUUUCUUGAGUGAAUCCUUCUCUAGUUGAGUUCCAAGAGUUCAAGUGUGCAUCCACCACUCUCUAGAGCCUUGUUUGGGUCAAGUGAGAGUUCUUUGCUUGUUACUCUUGGUGAUCGCCAUCACCUAGACGGUUAGGUGGUGAUUGGAGGCACGAAGACCGCCCGAAGUACUUGUGGGUGGCUCGUGUCAAGCUUGUGAGCGGUUUUGGGCGAUUCACCGUGAUGGAGUGUUGAAGAAUCAGCUCGUAGAGAGCACUUGGUCCUUGCACGGACCAAGGGGGAGCAAGGCUCUUGCACGAGUGCUCCAACGAGGACUAGUGGAGAGUGGCGACUCUCCGAUACCUCGGCAAAACAUCGCUGCGUUCUUCUUGCUCUCGUCUUUUACAUUCUAGCAUUUACUUUGAGCUUUUACAUUUCUAGAAUUGCCAUGCUAGAAUAGGAUUGGAACUAGGUUGCAAAACUUUUAUCUGAUUGCUCUCUAGAACACACUUAGGCACUAGGCGUUGAAUUGGAGCUUAUAGGUUGCUUAAAUUUUCAGAAAAGCCCAAUUCAACCCCCUCUUGGGCAUCUUGAUCCUUUCAAUUGGUAUCGGAGCCUAGUGCUCAUUACUUAGGCUUCACCAUCUAGAGAAAGAUGUCUAACAGGGUACAUCUAUGUACACCGUAAGGGGUGCCGGAACACCAUUAAUGAAAAAAACAGAAAGCCAGUGAUUAUAAUUAAAUUUUCACCAUAUUCGCACACUACCAUUACGCUUACUCUAGCUCUGCCCCUGCAUGCAGAAGUGUAUAAAUCAGAUGGAGUGUAGGCAGUAUAUAUGCCAGUAAAUUGGCUUGAUUUCGAGGAGGCAAGAUGAAUGUCUACAAUAACUUUUUUGUAAAGGUUGGAAAAAUAAUUUUGAAAGGUGGGUUUUUUGUGUCCAACUUUAUCAAAAUCAUUUUUAGAGGCGCCUCCUUUUUUGAUAGAGAUGGUUCUAUUGAAAUCUGCCUCUGAAAAUAGUUUCUGAGCCGACCAUAUCUAGGACUCAAAUUUUUAGAGAUGACUUUAUUUUCAGAGGUGGCUCAUAAUUUGGCUCUCGUCUAAAAAUAGGUAGACCAAAGUAAUGUUACUUUUUGACAAUCAAGUCGAAUGAAUACUAUUUUAAUAACUUUUUUCUUUUUUCUCGAAAACAUAGGAGAGUUGUGCUUUAUUGUAUUAAGAGGAAGUAAGUUGCUGGGCAUUACAUCUCACACCAGAAACCCACCAUAAUUAUUUUUUUACAUUCGCGCCUUGGAUAAAGAAAAAUCCGACCUUCUACUAAUGUAACCCUAAUCUCCAGGGAGGGGCAGUCGAUAGGGAUAAUCCUUGAUCCCCUGCCAUCACCCAGAGACCUCUUUCUUCACCAAAAGUAUUCAAUGUCAGACUACACAAUACUUUUGCGAGGAGGGAAAAAUCAAUUUACCGAUGUGGUUUUCACAACCGCCUCGGACCAAAGAUCACUAUUAAUAGACCCUUUUCCGAGACGGUUUGAUGCCCGCCUCAGUUAGUCGCAUAGAAAAAACAAAAAAAAUAUGGAUAAGCCCACAGAGCCCAUCCACGGGAAACUGCUGCCACUACUUGCCGGUGGUGCUUCUCCACUGCCGAUGGAGCCAUGGAGCGAGGGGAGGAGGCCGGAUCUGCUGUUGUAGGCCACGUCUCUGCUGGAUGCGUGCCAUGGUGGCUCCAUCCGUCGGAUCUGCGAUGCUACCAGCCAUCGGAUCCAUGGAGGGAGGGGAGGAGCCUGGAUCCACAGCUGCUGGGCUCCAACCCGCCGGAUCCGCAACCGUAGGCCACAUCUCCGCCGGAUCCGCACCGUGGUGGCUCCAUCCCGACAGAUCCAUGACGCCACCCGCCGCUAGAGCCAUCGAGGGAGGAUUGUGUCGUUGUGAGCUAUAAGUUGGUGUUGAUGUUUGUCAUAUCAUAUGUUUCUGUAUUUUGUAGUUUAAAUCUUAAUUUGAUUAAUAUUAUGCAUAUAGUUUUAUAAUUGAAAUCAUUAUAGGUUUUCUACCAUUUUAUAUAUAAAUAUCAAUAUGAUUAUUAAUUGCUAGUAUCAAUAUGAUUUUUAAAUAUUAAUUUUCAUAGCUUAAACAUGCAUCAUAUAUAGGUUGUUUAGAUGUUCUCGCAAACUUAUUUAUUUUGCAAAGUUUAAGCUUAAUAAAUUACAUGAUAAUAUUUAUAUGAUGAAAUAUGGUUAGCUCAACUUGAUUUAAAUGAUCUAAUUAAUAUGAGACAUGUUUAUAAAUAAAACAUGAUGAUUAAUUUUAAACCUAACUCUAAUUUAAUACAUGAUCACUAAUCUGAAUUAAUAUUAUCGGUACUUAAAAUAAAUUAAGCAUGUGUACUUUUCAUUUAUAAUAUACUUGGUAGUUUUUUAUUUUCAAUCAUAGCCCUGUUCUCAGUGUUUUUUGUGUACUCAUGACUAUAGUAAUUAGUUCUCCUUUAGUACAUUGUUUUCUCUUGUGAGGUGUAUUGUUCUUAGUUGUUUCUAUUUGUUACAUGUAUAUUUGCUUACGUGUGGUGCUUGUUAUGAGUAGACAAGAACUAUUUGUGGGCGCUAAAGAUCAGAAGGUGAUGACCGAAAGUUGAUGGUAUGAGAAUUGAGCAAGUGUUUAAGACAAGUGUAGCUUGGGAUUAUCCUUUCACCUAUACACUCUUAAUCAUUUAAUCAUACAUGUGUCGGCGUCUAGACUCGUCGUCUAGACACUAACGAGUAAUAAGUAUGCGCGUCCUCCUAAACCCGAAUGGUGAUGCAAGGGAAACACAGGGAGUUAUACUGGUUCGGGCUAAGAAUGCCCUACGUCUAGUGUGAGAGUUGGUGUCUGUAUUGCCUUGCACCCGAGAGUGCUUGUAGUAGGGGUGUACAAGCUGGUUGCGAGAGAGGGCUAAGUCCCAAGUCUCGGCUUUGAGGAGUGGGCAGAGUUGUACUCGUUACUCUAGUGUGAAAUGUUGUCUGUUGUUUGAGUGUGUGUUGUUGUCUUGCCUUGGGUUCUCGUGGUCCUUUUGAAGUGUGUCCUGCCUCCCCUUUUAUAGCCGCAAGGGGACACAGGGCUUUUACAUGUGUUGGUUUCUAAUUUAUCUCUAGUAAAUGGUGAAGUAGCAGUGCCGACCCUGUGGAGGUUUGCCCAUCCCGUCCUUGGGGGUAUGGUUAACGGCGUGGUUGCUUCUGUGGAGAGUUGCCGAGCCCUGUUGAAGUCGUGGUGGUCGGGUCCGUGACAUUGCAACACGUCCUGCAACAGUAGGGAAAUGACAGCCACAAUGACAGGGGUUAACUCUUCCCAUGCCUCCUUUUCCUGUGAGGUGAUACUUCACAGUGAAAGAGGUAAGGCUCCACAGUAACAGGAGUGGUUGGAAUAGUUGCCGUCACACCCUGCUGCAGCAUGGGGGAUAUGGCGAGCGUCACAUCAGAGGUACAGUCGUCGUGCAUUAGAAGCCUGACUCCGAGACACAGGCUCGGGCGAGGCGAUGUUUGCGCCCGAGCCUAGGAGGGGUCGGGCGAGACGGAACUUGCGCCCGAGCCCUGGGUGGUUUUGAGCGUUCGCCUUAUCCCUUUUUGCGAUUUUUAUUCCCUUAAUUUGGGUAUCCUGUUUUAUGGUACCCAACAACAUGUGUCUAUUUCGCCAACCAUAGUGAAAUCACAGUUAUUUGAUAUCUUGAAUACCUUGUCACCCUUGGGUCAUGCAUUGGGUAAUAUUUGCUAGUGUUUGAUAUAACCAUGAUCUUGUAAGAUGAUUAAUAAUUAUGCAAUAAAUGUUAAAAGAUGGCUUUUAACUAUGUAAGAUCUUAUCUGUACGCGAUUUACGGUAUAACUAUGAAGGCUAUAUGGCUCUGGCAUUAGCCUAGUCUGGGGGUAUAAACCCCUAUACCCUUACGGCUAGGCUUGGGCCAGAAAAUUUGGCCCAUUACGAGACAGCUGGAGGCUUGAUCCAACUACCUAGAGUUUUACGCAAAGAAACAAGACGUGGGGAUCAAGCAGGAUUCUAGUCGGUUAGAAUAGGAAUUAAUAUCAUACUAUUUAAGGUCACUUCUGUCCGGAGUCGCCGGAGUCAGGCUUCACCACGACCCAGUGUGCAUCGCCGCAAUUACUCGCUGGACGCUUUUCAGCAAAGGAACAAUAACGACAACCGCAACAAAGAGGCUCAUAGUGACGGCCGUGGUCGGGACACCGGCCGCAAUCAUCGUGGUCAUAGGCCGAGGCACGACCACAACCUAGAAGUAAAUCAAGGCGAGACUACGAUCUCCGACAAAAUCUUUCCUGCAAAGACGCCCGUGAGCGCAUCAACAGACGCGCCAACAAUAGAGCCGCACACGAAAACGUGCGCCGUAUCGAGUACGAUGUCAUACACGACCCUCCUGGUUUGAAGCAAUUCUCCUAACAUCUUCAGCAAGUUGUCUGGCCGCGCAACUUUAAACUGCAGAAGCUCAAAAAGUACGAUGGCAAGGAAAACCAUAAAAAUUGGGUCACUCUUUACGAGAGCACAUGAUGUCAAAUUAUUUCCCAGUCGUCCUCGAUCAAGCCGGUCACCAGUGGCUCCUCGGUUUGCUUGAAAAUUCAUUCGAUUCAUGGGAAGAGCUAUGACAGGCGUUCAUCGACAACUUCAUCGCUACUUGUGAGCAGCCAAGAAACAAAUACGACCUCGAGAGAAUACGGGAUCGCAAAAACGAAUCGUUACACGAUUACAUCCGAUGUUUCUCGGAUAUGCGUCUCAAGAUCCCAAAAAUCUCCCACGACGAGGCAAUUUCCGCUUUUAUCAAAAGGUCUUUGUUUUCACAAAGCCUUACAGAGCAAGCUACUGCGCAAGAGGCCGAGCACGGUCACUGAGCUCCUCGCCAUGGCCAAAAAUUAUGCCAACGCCGAUGACGCAGAAAAGCUUAUGAGAGAAGACAUUAGAGGAACCCAACAAAAUGAGCAGCCUCCUUGACGAGACGAUACUCGAGACAACUGCGGAUGUUUCGACAACCGCUGUAACACCCGGCCUAGGGCUUAAUAGGACUAAUAGGAGACUCAUACCAACAAGUUGCAACUUCUUUUCUGUAAGCCCAUCUCCAAAGAACUCUAAAGUUAAGCGUGCUUGGCCUAGAGAAAUUUAGGAAUGGGUGACCAACCAGGAAGUACUUCUCAGGUGCGCAUGAGUGAGGACAAAGUGUCCAGAAAAGACUAGUGUUGGUCUGUGGAGACUGACUAUAUCCUAGAAAAGCUGCCAGAUGUAAGUGGGCCCGGCCUCGUGGAGGCAGGACAUUACAGAAUGGUAUCAGAGCUGACUCUCGUAGUUUCAUGGGCACGUGUGUCGAAGUUGCGCAGGCAUGGUGUGCAUGGCUAGUGUGGACCCGGAGUGGUCACACAGCAUGGCUCAUGCGCUGGCACUUGAUGCACGGACGUGGCCAUGAGGGGACGUUCCUAGCUUGGGGUUGAUCGACGAGGACGUCGAUCUCUUAAGGGGGUGAGGAUGUAACACAUGGCCUAGGGCUUAAUAGGAUUAAUAAGAAACUCAUACUAACAAGUUGCAACUUUUUUCUGGAAGCCCAUCUCCAAAGAACUCUAAAGUUAAGCGUGUUUGGCUUAGAGAAAUGUAGGGAUGGGUGACCGACCGGGAAGUAUUUCCCGAGUGCGCACGAGUGAGGACAAAGUGUGCAGAAAAGACUAGUGUUGGUCUGUGGGGACUAACUAUAUCCUAAUCGCGACCACCGACAAGGGUGGGAUAGGCACUGCGACCAUCGUGAUGACUUUAGGGGCAAACGACCUCGCGACAAUGACCAUGAGGUCAACACGGUCAGGCAGUUCACUGGUCGAUGUGAUUAUCAGGAAGACUACAAUAAAACCUUGAAGGGGUCAUGCCAACUUCACCCCAAGUCCAACCACACAAUGGAAGAAUGUUGUGUCCUCAAGAGCAUUUACACGUAGUAGGUCAUCCAAGGCGACACCGCUAAACCGACGGGAAAGCGCGAUAGGCGCAACCAGGAGGACGAGGACGAGGACCAGGACCCAUGCCAUCAAUACGUCAAUCCACUUGAUGUUGUCCACUCCAUCUUCGGUGGGAAAGUCUCAAUUGAGUCCAAGAGGGAGAGGAAACUCCUUAAAAGAGCCUGCUUGAACGUGGACAGCUCUGACGGCUUAAUCGCCGACCCAAAGUUUCCCCCUGGUCCCACCGAGAGAUAUCUUUCAGCAGACAAGAUCAAUGGGCCACCAUCCCCGAGCCAGGGCGCUUCCCCAUGAUCUUGUAUCCGUGCAUCAACAGUGUCAGAUUUGAACACGUGCUCGUAGAUGGUGGCAGUUCCAUUGAUAUCCUAUUCUACAACAGUCUUCCUGCCCUUAAACUAACCCAAGCAUAGUUGAAGCCGUACAAGGCCCAGUUCUAGGGCGUCCUACCAGGCCAAAGUUCAAUUCCUCUCGGCCAGAUAACGCUUCCCGUGAAAUUUGGAACUCUAGACCACUUUUGCAUUUAGUUUGUAAACUUUGUGGUCACCGACUUCAACGGAACAUACGAUGCCAUUCUGGGUUGUCCGUCACUCACCAAAUUUAUGGCGGUUCCGCACUAUUCAUAUUUAGUGCUCAAGAUGCCAAUAGAAAAGGGAGUCCUCACGAUCAAGGGCAACGUCUACACGGCAUACACUUGUGAGGAGGAAAGCUUCAAGGUCACUGAAGCCAUCGACCUCUCGAUCCGGCUGGCAGAAACAGUAUCCCAGGCAACGAAAGCACCCCUCGACUAGUUCGAAGUGCCCGAGCAGUAGGCCUCAAGGAAGAACAUCAAGUCCAGGGAGCACAAGGAAGUCCGACUGGUCGACAACAAUCUCGAGAAGACAGCUCUCAUCAGAGCCAAUUUGGAUCCUAAAUAGGAAGACGCACUCGUUAGGUUUCUGAGGGACAACGUAAGCGUUUUUGCAUGGAAACUCGCAGACAUGCUCGGUGUCCCCUGCCACCUGAUCGAGCACUCCUUGAACAUCGCGAAGACCGCAAGACCAAUCAAGCAGAGAUUAUGACGGUUCGCUCGUGAUAAAAAGGAGGCCAUUAGGACAGAGGUUACACGGCUUUUAGCGACCGGAUUUAUUAAAGAAGUGUAUCAUCCCGAUUGGUUAGCCAAUCCAGUACUUGUAAGAAAAAAGAAUAAUGAAUGGAGAAUGUGCGUUGAUUACACCGAUCUCAAUAAUCACUAUCCUAAGGACCCCUUUGGUCUCCCUCACAUAGACGAGGUGGUUGACUCAAUGGCUGGAUGCGAAUUACUCUCUUUUCUUGACUGCUACUCUGGUUAUCACCACAUCUGUUUAAAGGAGGACGAUCAGAUUAAGACCUCCUUUAUCACCCCCUUCAGGGCAUAUUGCUACACGACCAUGUCCUUCGGGCUAAAAAACACGGAAGCUACAUAUCAACAUGCCAUCCAGCAGUGUCUCCAUGACAAGAUACAUGAGGACGUGGUCGAGGCCUAUGUAGAUGACAUCGUCAUAAAAACUAGGGACGCCAGCACUCUGAUCGACAACCUUGACCGGACUUUCCAGGCACAGAACAGAUAUAAAUGGACACUUAACCCCAAAAAAUGUAUUUUCAGGGUUUCCUCCGGCAUACUGCUCGGCAUAAGCCCAAAUCACUCUAAAGUCAAGGCAGUUCUUGACAUGCGACCACCAAGUGUGGGGGUAUAAACCCCUAUACCCUUACGGCUGGACUUGGGCCAGGAGGCUUGGCCCAUUACGAGACGAGUCCAAAGCUUGAUCCGACAACCUGGAGUUCCGCGCAAGGAAACAAGAUGUGGAGAUCAAGCAGGAUUCUGGUCGGUUAGAAUAGGAAUUGAUAUCGAAUUAUCCAUGGCAAUUGUAACCGACUAGGAUUAGUUUCCAGAUCUGUAACCCUGCCCUCCAGACUAUAUAAGGAGGGGCAAGGGACCCCCUAGGACACAUCAUAUUCUCUCAACACAAAUCAAUACGACCAGACGCAGGACGUAGGUAUUACGCCAACUCGGCGGCCGAACCUGGAUAAAAAGCUUGUCCGUGUCUUGCGUCACCAUCGAGUUCGUAGUUUGCGCACCGUCUACCGAUAAACUACUACCGUGGGUAUACCCCAAGGUAGACUGCCGACUAGCUUUCGUCGACAGUGGCGCGCCAGGUAGGGGGUGUGCGUGCAACUUUUCCGGCGAACAAGAUGGUCACGAUCCCAGCUUCCGCGACCGUGCCCGAAGGCCUCACGUUCACCGUCGGCCAGAUCACGUGGACGACGUGCAGCGGCGGCUUCGCGACCACGGUUCCGAAGGAGAUCCAGAUCCAAUCUGAGAUCACGCCGUCUCCGACCACACGCAUGACGGCACCAAGCGCCCGACCACCGUUCCCACUCUACAAGGGAAAGGAGAUCGACUGCUCGGACCUCCUCCAAGCGCUCGAUCGCACUGACUCCAAGCUACUCGAAGUCUCCCAACUAAUAGAUGGAGUUCUGCGCCGGCCCGACCAAGCUGCUCGAGCGGAUUUUUCGAAAUCCCGCCGGCCAACUCGUGUCGCCACACACGAACGGCUGGGAACGUCCCUGACGAUAACCUCAACCCCCUCAGGACGAUCCGUCGAGCUCAAAAAGGAAGACUAUCCUCGCGGCCUGAACAACUCGGCCUCUGUUUACUCACAGCAUGUCCAAUCCGUUUUCAGCAAGGCGGGUUGGUCGCCGACAAGGAACAAUCGUCACCAUGUCAACAUGGUGACAAUCCGAGAGCUACGGGACGGCCAGGUUUCCAGCACCAACUCAAGCACCGGCUCCGUCCCCACCGAGGUUAUAAACACCGAAGACGAGGGCUACGACCUGGAUUUUCCUUCACACCCUCCGGGUUUCGACCGAUUCCCGAUAUUCCCCCCCCCCCCGGCGAGGGGAUAUUGUGUUCAAUGUCAGCGCCGACGAACCGGCUGUUGACGGAGAAACAGAUGACCAGAGGCAACUCCGCGAACAGCGUAACGCCGAUCGUGCCCGACGGCGUGCGGACGAGCAACAACAGAUGCCACCAAGUAACCUCAACGAUGCCUUUGACAUGGUCGGGUACCAGCCAGUCUACAAAACGCCAAGCGCCAACGUGGCUGUCGCCAUGGCCAACCUGGAUCGGCUUCCUGACACCCCCGAAUGCCAGGGAGUCCGGACCAGCAUCCGAGCACACCUGAUCGCCGCAAUGGGACAGACAGCCACUCUACUCAAGAGAGUCCAGGACGUCUCUUAUACGGAAGCCGCCUCCGACCAGACUAAUCGUAGCCAGGUCUCACCCAGCAGGCGUCACCGCAGCCGCUCCCCCGACAACCGUCGAGGGGACUCGCGGCGCGACGAUGGUGGUCGGGACGCCGAUGGCCGCCGCAAGCAAAUUCAUGGCAUACGCGGCCAAGAAGAAGAUCAACACAGGGAUCUCCGCCACAACAUCCCUCCCAAAGAUGCCCGGGACCGCAUCAACAGGCGCGCCGCAGAGAGAGCAGUCCACGAAAACCUGCGCCGCAUCGAGUACGAUGCGACCCACGGUCCUCCAGGCCUAAGACAGUUCUCCUCACACCUCCGCCAGGUCGUGUGGCCCCGCAAUUUCAAGCUCGAAAAACUUAAAAAAUACGACGGCAAGGAAAAUCCAGAGAACUGGAUCACUCUCUAUGAAAUCGCCGUCCGAUCAGCGGCAGGAGAUGAGCACGUCAUGGCUAACUACUUCCCCGUAGUCCUCGACCAGGCUGGUCAUCAGUGGCUUCUCGGCUUGCCCGAGGACUCCUUCGACUCUUGGGAAGAGCUACGCCAGGCUUUCAUCGACAACUUCAUCGCCACAUGCGAGCAGCCCGGAAAUAAGUAUGACCUUGAAAGGAUAAGAGACAGGAAGAAUGAACCUCUGCGCGAUUACAUUCGACGAUUCUCGGAUAUGCGCCUCAAAAUCCCGAAGAUUUCUCAUGACGAGGCCAUAUCAGCCUUUAUCAAGGGCUUGCGUUUCCAUGAAGCGCUGAGGAACAAGCUGUUGCGUAAGCGCCCAUCAACGGUAGCAGAGCUCCUCGCCACGGCUAAAAAUUACGCCGAUGCUGAUGACGCAGAAAAACUAAUCCGAGACGAUGCGAGAGGCCCCGACCAGCCUUCCCGGCGAGAUGACGGUCGUGGUCGCUACGACAACAGAAAUCACCGCCGCUCUGACAACCGCGAUCACCGAGAGGGUUGGGAUCGGCGGCGCGACAGCCGCGACGACUUCAGAGGAAAGCGCCCUCGCGAAUACGACCACGAAGUAAAUACGGUCAAACGUCCCAAUGGACGACGGGACUACCAAGACGACUACAACAAAACGUUGAAGGGACCGUGCCAGCUACACCCAAAGUCUAACCAUACCAUGGAAGAGUGCCGCGUCCUUAAAAGUAUCUAUACACGGCGGGCCGCCCAAGAGGACUCCGCCAAGAAAAAUAACAAGCGCGACGGGCACGACCACGAAGAUGAGGAUGAGGACCAAGACAGGGACCCCCGACACCAAUACGUCAGCCCCACCGACGUGGUCCACUCCAUUUUCGGGGGCAAGGUCUCCACUGAGUCCAAGCGAGAAAGAAAGAUGUUAAAGAGAGCCUGCCUCAACAUAGACAGCACGGACGGGCUGAUCGCAGAUCCGAAAUUUCCCGCGUGGUCCCACAGGGAGAUCUCGUUCAGCAGGAAGGACCAGUGGGCCGCUAUCCCAGAGCCGGGUCGUUUCCCACUGAUUCUUGAUCCCUGCAUCAAUAGCAUCAGAUUCGAGCGCGUGCUCGUGGACGGGGGAAGCUCCAUCGACAUCCUCUUCCGCAACAGCCUGCCCGCCCUCAAGAUAUCACCGGCACAACUAAAACCUUACGACGCCCAAUUCUGGGGGGUUUUGCCAGGUCAAAGUUCGGUGCCCCUCGGACAGAUAACAUUGCCUGUCCAAUUCGGCACACCCGAUCAUUUCCGGACGGAGUUCAUCAACUUCGUAGUCGCGGAUUUCGACGGGACCUAUCACGCCAUACUGGGCCGCCCAUCGCUGACAAAGUUCAUGGCAGUCCCGCACUACUCAUACCUAGUCCUUAAGAUGCCCACGGAGAAGGGUGUCCUAACCGUCAGAGGCAACGUCUACAUCGCGUACACCUGCGAAGAAGAAAGCUUCAAGAUCACCGAGGCAAUCGACCUCUCAAUCCGCAAGGCGGAAACAGCAAACCAAGCCGCACAGCUGCAUCCCGAUCAGCUCCGAUUACCUGAGCAGGAGACAGCCAGAAAGAACUCAAAAUCCAAGGAAUACAAAGAAGUGCAGCUGGUCGAAGGCAACCCCGAGAAGACAGCCCUCAUCGGGGCUAACCUGGAUCCAAAAUAGGAAGACGCGCUCGUCAGGUUUCUAAGGGACAACGUGAGCGUUUUCGCAUGGAAACCCGCAGACAUGCCCGGUGUCCCACGAAACCUGAUCGAGCACUCCUUAAAUGUCUCGAAGACCGCAAGACCAAUCAAGCAAAAACUGCGACGGUUCGCUCGUGACAAAAAGGAGGCUAUUAGGACAGAAAUAACACGGCUUCUAGCAGCCGGAUUCAUAAAAGAAGUGUAUCACCCCGAUUGGCUCGCCAAUCCGGUUCUUGUACGCAAAAAGAAUAAUGAAUGGAGAAUGUGCGUUGAUUACACCGAUCUCAACAAACACUGUCCUAAAGAUCCUUUUGGUCUUCCUCGCAUCGACGAGGUGGUCGACUCAACGGCCGGAUGCGAACUACUCUCUUUUCUAGAUUGCUACUCUGGUUAUCACCAGAUCUCGCUAAAGGAAGAAGAUCAGAUCAAAACAUCCUUCAUCACACCCUUCGGCGCAUACUGCUACACUACCAUGUCUUUCGGACUUAAAAACGCCGGGGCCACUUAUCAAAGGGCCAUCCAGCAAUGCCUCCACGACGAGAUUCGCGAUGACCUCGUCGAGGCCUAUGUGGACGACGUGGUCGUAAAAACAAGGGACGCGAGCACCCUAAUCGACAACUUAGACCGAACCUUCAAGGCACUCAAUAGGUACAAGUGGAAGCUCAACCCCAAGAAAUGCAUUUUCGGCGUUCCUUCCGGCCUACUGCUCGGCAACGUCGUCAGUCGCGACGGCAUACGACCAAACCCUUCAAAAGUCAAAGCCGUACUCGACAUGCGACCACCGAAGAACGUCAAGGAUAUUCAGAAGCUAACCGGAUGCAUGGCCGCCCUCAGUCGUUUCAUCUCAAGGCUGGGAGAAAAAGGCCUCCCUUUCUUCAAACUAUUGAAAGCGUCAGAAAAAUUUUCUUGGACAGAGGAAGCCGACGCUGCGUUCACUCAGCUUAAGACCUUCCUCACUUCACCACCUGUCCUCACAGCGCCUCAGCCCAAUGAAGACCUACUCCUUUACAUUGCUGCAACCGACAGGGUUGUUUCCACGGCAAUAGUGGUCGAGCGAGAUGAACCAGGUCACGUCUUUAAGGUCCAGAGACCCGUUUACUUCAUAAGCGAAGUCUUAAACGAGUCCAAGGCCAGGUACCCACAAAUACAGAAGCUUAUAUACGCCAUCCUGAUAACGUCAAGAAAGCUGAAGCACUACUUCGACGGCCAUCGAGUCCUGGUGACAACCAGUUUCCCUCUCGGGGACAUCCUGCGCAAUAAAGACGCCAAUGGCAGAAUCGUGAAAUGGGCAAUGGAAUUAUGUCCAUUUUCCCUGGAGUUCCAGAGUCGCACCACUGUCAAGUCUCAAGCCCUGGUCGAUUUCAUUGCCGAAUGGACGGAUCUCAACGAGCCUUCCGUUCCCGAUGUCUCAGACCACUAGUCAAUGUUCUUUGACGGGUCCUUGAACAUCAACGGUGCAGGCGCUGGGAUAUUGUUCGUAUCACCCAACAAGGACAAACUCCGUUACGUCCUUCGGAUCCUUUUUCCGGCGUCAAACAACGUCGCCGAAUACGAAGCAUGCUUGCAUGGCAUACGACUAGCCGUUGAACUGGGGGUCAAGCGCCUCUACGUCUAUGGCGACUCCGCUUUGGUCAUCAACCAGCUCAACAAGGAGUGGGACACAACCCACGAGAAGAUGGAUCUCUACUGCAAAGAAAUUCGCAAAUGGGAAACUAACUUCUAUGGCAUAGAGUACAUCCACGUGGUCCGGGAUAAGAACCAAGUAGCAGAUGCGUUGUCAAAGUUAGGCUCAUCUCGGGCCCAAAUCCCGCGGGGUAUUUUCGUCCAGGACAUCCAUGAGCCGAGCGUAAGCUCCCCCCUGGUCGACAAGCAACCCACCGAGGCAAUGCUCAUAGGUGACGCCACUCCGACAACCGGCGGGCGUGACUGGCGUACCCCGUUCAUCAAAUACAUAUCAGACGGGACAGGCUUUCAGGACAAAACAGAGAACGAGCGCCUCAUCCGACGAUCAAAGAACUACAUCCUGGUCGACGGAAAACUCAUGCGGAAAAACGCAAGCUCCGAAGUACUGCUCAAGUGCAUACCCCAAGAUGAUGGUAUCAAGCUCUUGGAGGACAUACACGCUGGAUCCUGCGGCAAUCACGCCGCAUCUAGAACGCUGGUCGGAAAGGCUUUCCGAGCAGGUUUUUAUUGGCCAACCGCGGUCGGCGACGCAGAAAAACUGGUUCGGCAUUGCGAAGGAUGUCAGUUUUUCGCUAAGAGGACCCACGUACCUGCCCAUGAAAUUCAAACCAUCCCGUCGUCUUGGCCCUUUGCUUGCUGGGGGCUUGACAUGAUCGGACCAUUUAAACCAGCCCCGGGCAAUUUCAAGUUUGUCUUCGUGUUAAUCGACAAGUUCUCCAAGUGGAUUGAAUACAUGCCCCUGGUCAAGGCAACCUCCGAGAAGGCUGUGGAGUUUCUCAAUCAAAUCAUACACAGAUUCGGCAUCCCGACCAGCAUAAUCACCGACCUGGGCACCCAGUUUACUGGCACCACUUUUUGGGAUUUCUGCGAUGACAGAGGCAUAGUCAUAAAAUAUGUGUCAGUGGCACAUCCACGUGCCAACAGUCAAGUCGAACGUGCUAACGGAAUGAUCGUUGACGCCCUAAAGAAAAGGCUGUACACCGAAAACGACAGAGCACCCGGUCGAUGGAUGAAAGAAUUGCCGGCAGUGGUCUGGGGCCUCCGAACUCAGACCAGUCGAAACACAGGGGUGUCUCCCUACUUCAUGGUAUACGGUGCAGAGGCGGUCCUGCCGUCUGACAUACACUUCGGAUCCCCUAGAAUCGAGCACUUCGACCAGGCGACCGCCGACAACGCCAGAGAACUCGAAAUCAAUUGCAUGGAGGAAAAGCGUUUAGUUUCAUGUCUCCGAACAGCAAAAUAUCUCGCGGCAGUCAGGCGAUACUACAACAGGAACGUCAAGGACCGUUCCUUCGUGGUCGGCGAUCUGGUGCUUCGAUGGAAAACAAGCCAGGAGGGAAUGCACAAGCUAUCCACUCCCUGGGAAGGACCCUUCGUGGUGACCGAGGUCACACGACCUACGUCCUACAGAUUGGCAUACCCAGACGGAACACGAGUGCCUAACUCUUGGCACAUCGACAAACUGCGACGUUUCUAUCCAUAAAGUUUUAAUGACUUUCUUUUGUAAGUAUCUUAUAAUUUUUGAUAAUGAAAUUCUCUAUUUUUUGCCUAUACCUUGUCACACACAGCACUCGGCAAAACUCCUACAAUGGAUGCUCUUAGCGACAACCAAGACAAAUACGGUGACACGUCACUCAGAUAUUUUUACAGCGCUCAAAACAACAGUCAUGACAAAAAGUAAACUUUAUUACAAACUUUACAUACAAAGUUUACAAUAAAUACCCUGACGGGCAGACACUAGUCUAUUCCUAUAGACUACUUUAUUGGCCUAGCUGCUCGGGCUGAUCACCCGCCUGGCCCUGCUGCCCGGACGAAGGGGUCGGGGCCACCGGCGCCUGGCUGGUCGAGACCGCAGGCGUCGACCGCCCAUCUCCAGCAACGGACGCGCCCGACAACUCCCUGGCCGACCUAUCUGAGCUCGGCUGGUCUGGAGGAGUGGCCGUUCCGCACAGAUUGAUGUCGCCGAUCACUGUCGACGACAAGUCCAGCAGACUACUCCGAAGCUCGUCCGCGUCCUGCGGGCCGACUUCCUUCGGGUACCCCUUCUCCAGCCUGCUCAAGUCGACCAGGGGGUAGUGGGCGCGCACCAUGCUGAGGACGUGCGCGCCGGCAAACUCCCCGGCGUCCUUCACAAACUGCUGGAGCCAGUCCCACGCCCGUUGCACCUUCUCGACCGGGGUCAACUGCGGCGCGCGGGGCUGGCUCUCCGGGAGCUCGGGACUGAUCAGGUCUAGGACCGGGGACACUCCUUUCCAGAUCCUGCAACAGUUGACCUUCCAGGAGUCCCGGUCCUUGGUCAGAUCGUCCAGGUGCUUUUUGGCGUUCACCUUGAGCACUGCAAACGAAACGAAGCGUUAUUUUCGGCAUAAAAAAGGGGCAGGCAGUAACCAACAAGGCGGCAACCAUUACCAGAUAGCUCCCGGUCUUUUCGACCCAACUCCUCUCCUGCUCGCCGCCCGGACUCCAGCGCACCGGCGAGCUGUUGGCUGAGCUGCUCCUUCUCUUGUUGGAGGCUCGCCACCUCCUCUUCCAAGUCUGCGUGAAUCCUAAACUGGUCAGCAAAGCAAACUAUACAAGUACGCGAAGCUGCUCGGAGCGUGUGACUAACCUUCUUGCAGCCGGUACUGGUCGGCCAAACGACGAGCGAGGUCGAGACGACGCUCCUUUUCGGCACUCAUCUCGACCACCUUCUCCCUGACCUCCGCCCGCAACCGGUCUACCUCCGCGGCAAGGGCCUUGUUCUCGGCCAUGACGCCUUCUAUCUGGUCAAAGCACCGUUUCCGGUACUUCGCCGUUUUCAUUGCGUCCUACAAAGCAAGCAUAUAACGACCAUGCAAGACAAGGCAAAAGAAUGUGCAGCAGUGCAAAAAGCCGCUUACCUUGACUUCGUCGACGAGGCGCUUGGCCGCGCGCUCCACCCUGGCGGCCUCUUCGGUCUCGGCGAGCUCCUCAUGCCCGAUAAAGUGAUCCCCGCGUUGGCGCCACACAUACACGUGUUGGCGGCCAUCACGGGGACGACCCUCGAUCUCUUCCACCUCAUCAUCGGAGGCCGCCGGGGUUUCCUCCUCCUGUGCUGCGUCACCCCCGGUGGUGGUCCCAGGUAUUACUGGCCCUUGGACCAGACCUGGGGAGCCCGCAGCAGAGGAGGCUCCUGCUCGGGGCGGCGUGGGGACUUCACUCCCCCCGGCAGGAGGAGCGGUCGGAGAUCUUCCCUUCUCUGAGGAGUCAGUUGGGGGAGCCUCUCCAGCCCUGGUCGGGCUGCUUGUCGUAGUCGGUGCCGCGCUCGGGAGCCCCUCGGUGCUCCCAGGCGCGACUGCAGCUGUUGGCUGCUCUGUGGUCUGGGGGGCCGCAUCCCCAGAACCGCGGGCAGGCUCGCCCGUCCCUUGGCUGGCAACCUGGCCGGGGUCGACAUCCGACGCCGCACUACAGGAACAAAAGUCAAAUUUCAAAAAAAAAAAUCAAAGAGGAGUCCAAAAAUACGUAAGUCGAACACUUACAGGUCUGAUCGACGGUGGGUGGCGGUGAACCUCCUCCUCGCCCGGCCGGUCGGCACCUGCGCCCCCGUCUCGACAACUUGCGGUGCAGGGGCGUCGCUGGCCACUCGAUCAGUAGCGGCCGACGCAUUAUCUGGGCGACCCCGGGGCCGUCGGACCAACGAUGGCGCAGCCUCCUCGUCGUCGUCGUCGUCGUCAACGAUCCGCACGAGCCGACGACGCUUCGGUGCUUGGCUGCUCUCCGCCGGAAGAUCCGCCGGCAAAGGAUCUGCCGGCAAUGGCCUCUUCCCCGCUACCCUCUCCUCGGAGGUCGGGAUGGGGCGGGCUUGGUCCUCUUCACUGCUGGUGUAAUGAGUACACCGAUCAGCGUCCUCCUCUGGCGGGUCUUCUCCCGCAGGAUUUUCCAUCCCCGGUGCCAGUGAUACAUACACUGUGCACCGGUCGACACCGCCGAUCUGCAAAAGCAACAGAGAUGAGUCAACUGCCGACGAUAUACGAAUGCUAAAACAGAAUCUGCUACAUACCUUUGGUGCUGGUCGUCCUAACUUGAAGGCUUGCACCCGAUCACUGCCACGGAUGAAGCCUCCGUCCGCGAAGUUAAACAGCUCGUUCAACAGCUGUUGUACCUCCGCUUUCUCCAAGAUCUCCGACCGCAUCCUGGUCGGGUCUGCGCUUCCGGCAUACUCGUACGCCGAGUGCACCCUCUUCUGGCAGGGCAUCACCCGGCGGCAAAUGAAGUUGCCGACCACGCCAAGCCCGUCCAGGCGCGACCAGUCGAUCAGCUUCAUGAGAUCCGCCACUGGACCGUCGAACUCCGGGCGGUCGGUCCAGCUCGUCCUCUUCUCAGGAAUGUAUCCCACGUCGCAGAACGUGGAGCUGCCCGGUUCCUCCCUGAUGUAGAACCACUUCCUGUACAUUCGGUCAAGGAAGUGUUCCAUGGACAGUGCAGGUAGCGAUUCUUCAUUCCAUCACGAAGGUUGAGGUAUACUCCACCUGCAACCUUGGAGCCUCCAACUGCUCCCUUCUUCCUCAAGCAGAAAAGAUACCGGAAAAGAUCGAAGUGCGGCUCUAUGCCAACAUAGGCCUCGCACAGGUGGAUAAAGGUGGAAAUGAGGAGAAUUGAGUUCGGGUGCAGAUUGCAAAUCCCGAUCUCGUAAUACAAAAGAAGACCUUGAAGAAAAGGAUGAACAGGAACACCAAAACCCCUCUUAAUGAAAUCUUCAAAUACGACGAUCUCACCGGCACGAGGGUCAGGGUAGCUCUCCCCCUCCGGUGCCCUCCAGCCGCCGAGCUCCGGGCCGUGCAGAAGCCCCAUAUCGACGAGGUCACCAAGAGAUUUUGUGGUGCUGCGAGACUUCUUCCACUCCUUGGCCAUCAGUUCGGCCCUCUUCCUAGAGUCGCUCUUCGCCAUUAGAGGUGCGAAUGUGGGCUUGAGUUAGGAAGAUGCAGGAGAUUGGAGAAGAUGAGAGCGGAAGGUUUGAAGGCAAUGGCAGGGUAAGCGGUACAGGCGGACCUAUUAGGCUCUUAUCAGCCCGCAACUCCACCUCUCCCACUUCCUGUAUUCUCGGGAAGUGGGCAGGCCAUGCGGCGGACGCGGCGUUUCGGUUUACAAUGAUUAUAGACAAUUAAUGCGGCGGAUUUUUCGUACCAAUUGAUGGUUUCCUUUUCUCAAACCAUGCAAAGGCGGUUGCACAAGUUGCCAGGCGCAACUUUUCAUGCAUCCGUCUGACACCCCGUCAGGAGGCCUCGUCACGUCAAUUCAAAAAAAAAAAAACAAGACGACACAUACGCCAGAAAGUCAACAAUCCGGGGACUGCACCGACCAUCGGGCAUUCGACGCUCGGGGACUGGUCGCCCAGUCUAUCAGCUCGGAAUUUCAAGGACUGCGCCGACCACCGAGCACUCGACGCUCGGGGACUGGUCGUCCAGUCUAUCAGCUCGGAACUUCAAGGACUGCGCCGACCACCGAGCACUCGACGCUCGGGGACUGGUCGUCCAGUCUAUCAGCUGGAAGCUUUAAAGGACUGCGCCGACCACCGAGCACUCGACGCUCGGGGACUGGUCGUCCAGUCUAUCAGCUGGAAGCUUUAAAGGACUGCACCGACCACCGAGCACUCGACGCCCGGGGACUGGUCGCCCAGUCUAUCAGCUAGACGCUUUAAAAAACUGCACCGACCACCGAGCACUCGAUGCUCGGGGACUGGUCGUACAGUACAGCGACACAGGAUUCUAAAAAACACUUGGUGCUUGGUGACUGGUCGAUUAAUCUAUUCAAUUGCAGUCAGACUGGUAAAUUCCACUUUUUAGACCUUGCUACAAGGUUCAUACUUCGCCUUCCAGCAAGCUCGGGGACUACAUCGGUACGAUGCAUCUGACGAUGCAUCUCAGUUACAGAAUUUCUUUGAGGACUUUUGUUUUGACCCUGGCACCACGUGCCUGCGUCACCUACUACCAGGCUCGGGGACUAAGUGGGCACACUUCACCUUGCGGUGAAUUUGCUUGCUUUUUUGACGUUUAUACCUUUCAAAAAAGUAAAGUGGGCACACUUCACCAGGAAAGAAAUCUUUUUUGAUUUAGAGCACCAUGCAUUCUUCGAACAACCUGCUUCUUUGAACCUGCUUCUUCAAUGUCAAUGUUGAUCAAUUGUCUUUUGAGUUGGUCAAAAUACCGUUGCAACUGUUCGGGCAACUUUCCUGAAGACAUCAAGCCUCACUGAUCGAAGAAGCUCAAGACGGCGUGUUACACCAUAAUACAUGGUGCUCGGGGACUAGCUGUGGGGGUAUAAACCCCUAUACCCUUACGGCUGGACUUGGGCCAGGAGGCUUGGCCCAUUACGAGACGAGUCCAAAGCUUGAUCCGACAACCUGGAGUUCCGCGCAAGGAAACAAGAUGUGGAGAUCAAGCAGGAUUCUGGUCGGUUAGAAUAGGAAUUGAUAUCGAAUUAUCCAUGGCAAUUGUAACCGACUAGGAUUAGUUUCCAGAUCUGUAACCCUGCCCUCCAGACUAUAUAAGGAGGGGCAAGGGACCCCCCUAGGACACAUCAUAUUCUCUCAACACAAAUCAAUACGACCAGACGCAGGACGUAGGUAUUACGCCAACUCGGCGGCCGAACCUGGAUAAAAAGCUUGUCCGUGUCUUGCGUCACCAUCGAGUUCGUAGUUUGCGCACCGUCUACCGAUAAACUACUACCGUGGGUAUACCCCAAGGUAGACUGCCGACUAGCUUUCGUCGACACCAAGGAACGUAAAAGACGUACAGAAACUCACAGGAUGCAUGGAUGCUCUUAGCCUUCCCUUCUUUAAACUACUAAAUGCAUCCGAAAAGUUCACCUGGACAUAGGAAGUCGAUGCAACAUUUACGCAACUUAAAGCUUUCCUCACGUCUCCCUCGGUCCUCACCAUGCCUCAGCCUAACGAGAUCCUACUUCUAUAUAUCGCGGCCACUGAUCAUGUUGUCUCAAUGGUGCUCGUGGUCAAGCGCGAAGAGCCAGGCCAUGUUUACAAGGUCCAGCGACCAGUAUACUUCAUAAGCGAGGUCUUAAAUGAGUCCAAGACCAGGUAUCCCUAGAUAUAGAAGUUGAUCUACGCCAUCCUAAUCACUUCCAAGAAAUUAAAACACUAUUUUGAUGGUCACCACAUCAUGGUGACGACAAGUUUUCCAUUGGGGGACAUCCUGCGCUCAUACAUCGUUUCAGGAUCCUAAACAGCAUAAUCACAGACUUGGGGACUCAGUUCACCGGCACUACAUUCUGGGACUUCUAUGAUGACAGGGGCAUAGUCAUAAAGUAUGUAUCGGUAGCUCAUCCCAGGGCCAACGGACAAGUCGAGCGGGCCAAUGGUAUGAUCUUGGAUUCUUUAAAAACAAUAUUGUACAGAGAAAACAACAAAGAAGCAGGAAGAUGGAUGAAGGAAUUCCCAGCCGUGUUCUGGGGUCUGUGAACACAACCUAGUUGGAAUACGGGCGUGUCCCUAUACUUCAUGAUAUAUAGGGCCGAGGUGGUUCUUCCUACCGAUAUGAAGUUCGGAUCUCUGAGGGUCCAGCAUUUUGAUCAGCUUUCAGUAGACAACACCAGGGAAGUCGAAAUCAAUUGCAUGGAGGAACACGGCUAGAUUCUUGCAUCCAAACAGCUAAGUAUCUCGAUAUCCUACGACGAUACUAUAAUCAGAAUGUCAAGGAGUGUUCUUUUGUGGUCGGAGAUUUGGUACUGAAGUGGAAGACAAGCCAGAAAGGGAUGCACAAACUAUCCACGCCUUGGGAAGGCCCCUUCAUGGUCACAAAAGUCACACGUCCCACUUCUUACAGAUUGGCCUAUCCGGGUGGAACAAGCUUGCCUAACUCGUGACAUAUAGACAAGCUACGAUGUUUUUAUCCUUAGACAAGCACAUGUCAUAUGUAUUUUUCUUAUGAUUUAUGACAAGUAUCAGUUUUUUAUUCAAACUUCUUACAUGCAGAACUCUCAUCGAGUGUGGUCUCUCCUGUUCUUGACACUCAAGUUUGAUAACAAAACUAAGCUAGGCGGUCGGUCACCCUCACUCAGUUAUACUUCACUCAAACAAGAUAUUCACAGCGCUUAACCAUGGUUUACAAACUAAAACUUUAUUAUAAGCUUUCUCAGCAAAGUUUACAAUAAAAGCCUCUCUGGGCGGUCCUAGUCUACACCUAUAGGCUACGCUGGUGGUCGCUGCUCACGCAGCUCGCUAGCACGCGCCCCUGGCACCGUUGAGGAGGUCGGGGCCACCGUUGCCUAGCUGGUCGAGACUGUAGGCGCUGAUCAUCCAUCUCCUGCCGCAGACGACUCUAACCACUCCCUGGUCGACCUAUCUGAACUCGACUCACUUGACAGAGCAGAAGUCCCACAGAGAUUAAUGUCGCCAAUCACAGUUGACGACAGGUCCAGCAGGCUGACUCAAAGGUCAUCUGCCUCCUUCGGACCAACCUCUUUUGGGUACCCGCUCUAUAAGCAAGAUAAGUCGACCAGGGGGUAGUGGGCGCGUACCAUGCUCCGCACAUGUGCUCCGGCAUACUCCCCAGCAUUCUUAACAAAUUGGUGAAGCCAGCCCCACGUGCGUUGUGCUUUUUCAAUUGGACCAAGAUUUUGCGCACGGGGCUGGUCCUCGAGAAGCUCUGGGCUGAUAAGGUCGAGCACUGGGGCCACACCUUUCCAGACCCGGAGGCAUUUAUUAUUCCACGAAUCCUGGUCCUUGACCAAAUCCUCGAGAUGCUUCUAAGUAUUAAUUUUUAGCACUGCAACAAAGACAAAAAGGAAGUUUCUAGUCAAUGCUAGGACAAAGAAUCUUCGACCACUCGACAACUCUAGUCUUACCUGUUAGUUCUCGGUUUUUUGUUCUCAAUUCUUUCUCAAUCUUCCUCUCACUUUCCAAGACAUGGGCGCUCUCCUGGUCGAGUUGGUCUUUCUCCCUCUGAAUGCGUUCCAUCUCUUCAACCGGACCUACAGUGGUAGAACACUGCGGUAAUUUAUAGUCUUACUUCUCUUUUCUCUAUCCUUCUUGGCUAAUCGCCAAGACAGAUCGGCCAUCUGCUCCUCUUGAGCAGACCUAUCCUUUGAGGCCUUCUCGACCUCUAGCCAAAGCCGGUCUACCUCGUCGCUUAGGGCUUUAUUCUCGGCCAUGACUCCCUCAAUCUGGUCGAAACAUCUUUUAUGAUAUUUCGCCGUCUUCAUUACGUCUUGUGGGUUUCAAACACACGUGCACAUAAGCUUUCAUAACAAGGCUACAUUUGCACCAUUCAUUUUCAAGUUUGGAAGGCGCUUACCUUAACUUCACUGACGAGGCGUUUGGCAGCUCGCUCUACUCUGUCUGCCUCCUUGACUUCUGCAAUCUCCUUGUGGCUAGCCUAGUGAUCCCCACGUGGACGCUAGACAUAAAUAUGUUGGCGCCCAUCACGAGGAUGCCCCUGGAUCUCUUCCACCUCCUAGUCGGAGCUUGCCUGGGCCUCUUCAUCUCGUGUGCUCCUUCCCACCAUAGCGGAAGGAGCCAUUGGGCCUUUUCCCCGGUCAGGGACGUCGAGUGGCAUCACCGACUGGUCGGACGGCUCCUCCAUGCGAGCAGGGGAGGGAGCUCUGGCCAUCUCCUCUGGUGCGCUGCUCGGUGGGGGGCACCUGCAUCAACUUCCUCCCUAGUCGAGGAGGUCGCAGGCUGCAUAGGGGCCUGCUCCAUGAUGGGUGGCUCUAAUGGUUUUGAACUCCCAAUAGCGUUGGGGUCAACAUCAGAGGCCGCACUACAAUUUUUUCAUUAAAUCAAUCAUAGUUGUCUGAGCAUUAACACAAUGGAAAAUUGUUUUCUUUCUUAACUUACAGGUCAGAGGAUCUGUGCGAUGUGGAAAAAACUCUACGUUUGGCGCGUCCUGCAGCCGCCGUUGGCCGCGGCUGAUCUAGGCGCGCCUGCUCAUCAGCAGCCUACACGAUGGGCGGAUCUUCCGCAGGUUGUGAGCUCGGCGUCGGGACUAUCUCAAGGUGUCUUCGUGACCUGUGGACUAGGUCUAGGGCCGCUUCUUCUUCUUCCUCGUUGUCAUCAAGAACUUGAAGCAUCCGGCGAUGCUUCGGUGCUUGGGAUCCGAAAGCCGAGCCUUGGCCGGUCGAUAGGUCUUGGGCCGACUUUGAUGGUGCUCCUCCUCCUCGGGAUGGCCCUCUGGUUGCCGGUCUCUUUCCCAUGACUCUAUCAUAGGUGGUCGGCGCCACCUGGUCGGCAUCAUCAUCGCUGCUGGUGUAUUGAUAACACCGAGCAGCAUUCUCCAUGGGCGGAUCUACUCCCGCUGGGUGCUCCAUGCCGGGCGCCAGUGACACAUACACUGACGCGAAGUCGAUGUCUCCAAUCUGCAAAAUAGUGGUAGCAAUUGAUCAGUGGGUAAAGAUGACAAUGAAUAAAUUUGCAAGUUGUGUAAACUUAUUGCUUACCUUUGGAGCUGGUCGAGCAAGCUUAUAUGCGUGCAUCCGGUCAUCACUCUGCACAAAGCUGUUGUCUGCGAGAUUGAAGAGCUCGCUGAUCCGAUGAUGGAUUUCGGUGUUCUCCAGGUUUUCCUUGAGCAUCCUGGUCGUGUCCUCGCUCCCCAGGUAUUCGUACCCCGGGUGUACUCUCCUCUGGCAUGGCUGCACUCGGUGGCUGAGGAAGUUCCCGACCACACCAGGUCCAUCCACAUGCGACCACUCGAUUAGGUUCAUCAGCUCUUCGACCUGCCCAGUGCAUUCUUCAUCCCAUCGCUAAGAUUGAGGUAUACUCCACCAGCAAUCUUGGAUCCUCCAACUGCUCCUUUCUUCCUCAAGCAAAACAAAUAGCAAAACAAGUCAAAAUACAGCUCUAUCCCCGCAAAAGCAUCACACAGAUGAAUAAAAGUGGCAACAAGAAGGAUGGAGUUGGGAUGUAGGUUACAAAUCCCAAUCUUGUAAUAGAGAAGCAGACCCUGAAGAAAGGGAUGAACUGGAACCCCGAAACCCCUCUUAAAGAAGUCUUCAAAAAUAACAAUCUCACCGGCUCUUGGAUACGGGAAGCUUUCUCCUGACGGCUCCCUCCAGUCGUCGAGUUCUUGGUUAUGCAGAUGCCCCAUCUCGACAAGCUCGUUGAUGGACUUCGCAGUGGACUUGGACUUCUUCCAUUCUUUUGCCAUCAUCUCAGCUCUCUUCUUCGAGUCACUCUUGGCCAUUUCGCUAAGGUGGGUGUGAUUUGGAUCUACCUCAUUGGCAAGGCGCAAGGAGGAAGAAGGCAAAUGGCUAGUGGACGCAACUGCUAGGUGCAAAUCUAGUAGUACGCUGCUUCGGCUAUUUAUCACGGGGCAACCACCUCUUUCACUUCCCGCAUCUUAGGGAAGUGUGUGGUUUCUAUGGCAAAAAUGUCGUUUCAGUUUCCAAUUUCGUCGCAAUAAAGCUGCCGCAUUUUUAAAUGAUUGUUGGAGCUACUUUUGCUUCGGUUCCCGUGUUGGGCGACUUGGUUGCUAGUGGCACUUCUUUUCACACACCGGACUGACAUUUUGACAGUGUUGACAAGAUGGGCUGACGCUCCGUCACGUCGCGAAUUAAUUGACAAAAGGAUGUGAAGACUAAAAGUUCAAGUGAAGGGUUUAUUAAGCUCCAAAGCUCGUCUGAUCCUACGUAGUGUUUGGGGACUGUAUCGACCACCGAGCACGCUUAUGGUUACCAUCCACGCUCGAGGCCUGGUCGACCAGCCUCUAUAAUAAAAUUGGGGACUGUACAGACCACCGAGCACGCUUAAGGUUACCAACCAUGCUCAGGGACUGGUCGACCAGCCUCUAUGAUAAAACUGGGAACUGUAUCGACCACCGAGCACGCUUAUGGUUACCAACCAUGCUCGGGGACUGGCCGACCAGUCUAUGCAACGUGCUCGAAAACUAUGCAGACCAUCGAGCACGCUUAUGGUUACCCUCCAUGCUUGGGGACAUCUCUUUUCAGUUACAUACGAAUCGGACCCAUAUACAACUGAGGGAUGAUUUUGAUUUUUUAGACCUUGCUACAAGGCUCAUACUUCGCCUUCCAGCAAGCUCGGGGACUACAUUGAUACGAUGCAUCUAGCGAUGCAUCUCAGCAUCAGAAUUUUUACAUAGACUUUUCUCUUCAGACCCUGCCACCACGUGCCUACGUCACCUACUACCAGACUCGGGGACUAAGUGGGCACACUUCACCUUGCGGUGAAUAUGCUUGCUUUAUGAAAGCAUGUACUUUUCCAAAAAUAAAGUGGGCACACUUCAUCAGGAAAGAAAUCUUUUCUGAUUAAGAGCACCAUGCAUUAUUCGAACAACCUACUUCUUUGAUGUCGAUGUUGAUCAACUGUCUUUUGAGUUGGUUAAAAUACCAUUGCAACUGUUCGAGCGAUUUUCCUGCUGGUCGAAGACGUCAAGCCUUACUGGUCGAAGAAGCUCAAGAUGGCGUGUUAUAUCAUAAUACAUGGUGCUCGGGACUAGCUAUGGGGGUAUAAACCCCUAUACCCUUACGGCUAGGCUUGGGCCAGGAAAUUUGGCCCAUUACAAGACAGCUCGAGGCUUGAUCCAACUACCUGGAGUUUCACGCAAGGAAACAAGAUGUGGGGAUCAAGCAGGAUUCUAGUCGGUUAGAAUAGGAAUUGAUAUCAUACUAUUUAUGGCAAUUGUAACCGACUAGGAUUAGUUUCCAGAUUUAUAACCCUACCCUCUGGAUUAUAUAAAGAGAGGCAAGGGAUCCCCUUUAGUUCAAUUCAUUACAUCUCAGAUCAAUACAAUCAGACGCAGGACGUAGGUAUUACGCCCACACGGCGGCCGAACCUGAUAAAAUAAUUGUCUGUGCCUUGCAUCACCAUCGAUUUCGUAGCUUGCGCACCUGUCUACUGAUAAACUACUACCGUGGGUAUACCCCAAGAUAGACUGCCGACUAGCUUUUGUCGACACCUAGUAUGAGGAUCUUUUUUAGCUUGUUAGUGGUUACUCGAAAGGGCACAAAAGGGUCUUGUCGACUCGAGUAUAGUACGACCUUUGUCCCUAUGUGUAUAGGCUACACGUCGUUGUGCUAUUCAAAAGGGGAAUUCUGCAUCUACUCGCCUAUUGGAAACCUAGCGGCCCUAACUUGUUAGAUGAACCUUUAGAAGGCUUCAUAGUGAACCCUGUCGACGUCUCUAGGAAGGGGGCUAAGAGACUAGCUACCUCGAAUGGAAGGGUAAAUCACGACAAAGAUGUACAACCUGUGCAGAGUGUUUAAUAAACUGGUAUAAUAGUUGUGCUCACGGACACAAGCGGCUUUCGAGACAUUUACAUUAAAAAUGAUGAUUCUUGUUAUGUUAAGUGCUCAUUAACUUACCGUUUAUGUCUUACGUUAAUUAUGUUUACAUUGAUCAUCUGGUUAUGGGAAUAUUUGCUACCUUGUUGCUACUACUUAUUAAACAUCUUAUUUACCUAAAAGCUACUUGCAGUUUAACCGGUGUAAGCUAAUUGAGCCAUAUGAACCCCUUGCUAUAUUUGAUGAGUACGACAUGUGCUCAUCCUUGCUAUUUUUCACACCAGUCUCUAGCAAAAGUUGCUCAGAAGAUGAUAAUAUUACGGAGUUCAUAGAGGACUGAUAGAAGUACCAGGCAUAUGUUACCCCCAGUCAACCGUCUCUGUGAAGAUUGAGCCUCAAGAUUUAGUUACCAUUCUGUGAUACCGUAAUGCAAGUGUUAAUAUGACUACGUAUACAUUAUUUAAUAACAUUGUUUUUAAUACAAUUCACUCUAUUGUUGUAUGUGUAGACUUUCUGGACACACAUAUGGAUAGCCUAGUUUUGUUCUUUAAAACUAGUGUGAUAAUUUUAACUCAAACAUUAUAAUACAUAAAUAAUUGUAAUUUAAUGUUAAGCGCUUUGUGUUGUGGAAAAAUGAUGUUAUAAUACCAUUAUAAAAGAUAAUAUAAAGUAACAUAUUUAGAUUUGUAUCUAAAUUGUCUAUAUCUAACUCUUAUUUCAAUGGCUUAUCAAAACAAAGUUUAAAUAACAACAAAGAACGAAUAUGUUUCUCAUUGUUCAUUUUAUAAAUACUAAUACUAAUACAAUAAAAAUGAUUAAAGUAAACAUACAUAUUAUGCCAACAUGCAAAUCACACACACAUACUUAAGAUAUAUAUUUUACAUAUUUUAAAUAAGAUAUUUAACAUAUCUAUAUUGAUAAUAUAACUAUUAUUACAUAAAAAUUGAGUUGAUAAAAAAAUCAAACAACUUGAAAAAAAGGAUGAUGUUAGUAUAAACCAUAGGUGCUUACUUUUUCCCCAUCGUAAGUGACAUGGUGUAGGCUUAAAAAUUAAUCAUAAGUGACAUGGUGUAGGCUUCAAAAUUAAUGAUUACUUUUUCCACAUCAAAUUCCAUCACUAAUCAUAAGUGACAUGGUGUAGGCUUAAAAAUUAAUGAUUACUUAUGUCAUCAUGAAUACAAACAUUUAAUCCGAAGGUUCUAACCCCGUGCGGAGCACGGGUUAACAGACUAGUUUAAAUAAUUCGUAUUUUUUAAUAUGUUUCCACCGCAAAACUUUACAAUGCCCGCUACUUUCGUUCCAUUAGAAAUAUAGCUUCUCCAAUAAUCUGACAAAUGAUUUCUCAUCCAUAAUUUUUUUAGCAAAAUAAGAAAAAAUCCUCUUCAACACUUUGGUAUCUCAAUUCCCCAUGUUUUCUAACUUGGCAUAUCUCCCUAUCUAGUGCGCAAAUAUGUGCGCAGGCUUCAUACUUGGUAUCACUCUUUCUUUUCAUACUUAGCCGAGCUCUUCAUUCGCUUACACUACUACAUAAAACUUUUUGCCAGGCGGGCAACGUAAGGUCAUGGUAAAUCACUGAUUUGCUGAGGCGUAUUAGUUGCCCGCCUCGUUUAAUGAAAAUAAAAAAAUAAAAAGGCCCAAAUUCAAACUGGGCUUGGAUCAGGGCCUCACGCUGCUGCCCUUCUGCGCCGCCGCCGCCCCUGCGCAUCGCCGUCGCCGCCACAAAGCUCUCUCCCACCGGAUCCUGCUCCUCCUCGUCGGAUCCGAUGUCCUCCUCGCUAGAUCCACCAGUGUUGGAGGUGCUCCACCUCUCUGAGCACCCCAUUGUGGUCAGCUCGACGGUGAGGGAGGGUCGCCACCACCAUUGCCGUCUCGAGCACCCCCAUCAAAUCCAUGGACGGUGAGAGAGGGGCGCCACCACCGUUGUCGUCCCGAGCACCCUGCACGCAGGGCCCUCGCGCACAGGGCCGCUAUCAUCCGGCCGCUGAUGGCCUAGCCGCCACACACCGAAGAGCCGUUGUGGCUGCACUGUGUGCCCUGCCAUGGCUCGCCUGCCGCUGAUAUAGUGCCUGCGCGCCGGAGAUGGGUGGGGAAGCUUGUGCGUCCGGCUAAGGAAGUCUGCCGGGGAGAGAGGGAAGAGUGAGGAGGGAGGCGCUUGUGAGAGAGGGAAGGACUGAGGACGGAGGCACCGCUCCACACUGGAGAUACGGUGGGGGAGCGAGCGCUGAAUGGGGAAGAGGGGUUAAGUGCGGCUUGGAGAGGGAGGGAAGGUGAGUGGGUUAGGGUUUUCCUUCGUAUAUAUACUCAAAGAUAGAAACUAGGCUUAUGGGCUUUGUCAAUAGUAACUGGGCUCAGCCACUAUUAACCGAGGCGGGCUUUUGUAAGAGGUCCGCCUCAAAAAUAGAGGUAUUUUUGGAGACGGGCCUCUUAUAAUGACCGCCUCGGUUAAUGGAUUUUAGUAGGCGGUUAUUUUUAACCGCCUCGGUUAAUAAAAAAUAACCGCCUCAAUUAAUCCAAGCAUUCACCCAGGCGGUUGGAAGUGUUGUCCGCCUCCGAAAAUAAUUUCAAAACAUCUCGUAAAAGAUUUUUUGUAGUAGUGUUAGUGGGGCUCUUUAUUUCAUUAACGGGUAUUUGGGUUUUUGAAACAAAAUUUGCUAAAAUAUGAGAUCUUUUUAUCCUCCCUAUAUAUUAUUUUGGAAGUUGACAAACAAUAAGAUUUGGGAAAUGAAUUUUGCCAAAGAGAUGCUCUUAGUACUCUAGUAGUAAGUACCAUACCCUUGAAAAAACAAAAACCUAUAUAAAUAGAUGGUGCCACAGUGAUGAAUGCAUCCCAGAACAAAGAACCUCCACUCCACGACGUACACAAAUGGCAGGGGCCGAGGACAGCACUCAAGACUUGCUCCAAGCUCAUCUUCAGCUGCUGCACCAGUCCCUCGGCUACAUCAGCUCAACUGCGCUCGCCGUUGCCUUGGACCACGGCAUUCCAGACGCCAUCCAGCAUCACGGCGGCAGCGCCACCCUUUCGCAGAUACUAGCCAAGAUCGAUGUCAGCCCAACAAAGCGCCGAGGCCUGCAUCGCCUCAUGCGCAUGCUCACCGUCACAGGUGCCUUCAGCGUCGACCAGCGUCCAGCCGUCGCCGUCGCCGCCGCACCACACGAUGGUGGGCGGCGCGGCGAUCCUGUCUAUCAACUGACGGCAGCCUCCCGUCUCCUCCUCAGCGACGACGACGACGGGAUCCGCCACCCCGCGAGCCUGACUCCUCUCCUGACCAUGCUGCUCGGUCCUCUGCUUGCCUCGCCGCUCGCCGCCGUGGUGAGCGCGUUGGUCCGGGAGGACCGGCAGCCGGACCUGUCGGCGUUCGGGAUCGCGCACGGACAGACCGUCUGGGACGACGUGGCCGACCACGAGGCUGCCUUCAACGUCUCCCUCCACGACGCCAUAGCCGCCGACACACGCUUCCUUAUGCCCAUCGUCCUCAAGGAAUGCGGCGAGGUCUUCCGGGGGAUAGACUCGCUGGUGGACGUCGGCGGCGGACCGUAUGGGAGUGCCGCUGCUUCCAUCGCGGCGGCGUUCCCGCGUCUCAAGUGCAGCGUGCUGGAUCUCCCCCAUGUUGUUGCCCAAGCUCCACCUGAUAGCAGCGUGCAGUUCGUCGCGGGCAACAUGUUCGAGUGUAUUCCACGUGCAAAUGCUGUUUUCCUCAAGGUACUGAUAUACUAUGUAGUAUUAUAUAGUCGAUCUAGCCACGGUAUCACUUGUCUACGACAAUAAUUUGACUAACUUGAUGUUUUUACUAAUUUUAUUUUAUUUAGUGGAUUUUGCAUGACUGGGGCGAUGAUGAGUGCAUCAAGCUCUUGAAAAGAUGCAAGCAAGCCAUCCCUCCACGGGAUGCUGGAGGAAAAGUAAUAAUAAUCGAUAUGGUACUGGGAUCAGGACCAGCAGACGACGUCAAGCAUAAAGAGACGCAAGUGUUAUUUGAUCUCCUAAUGAUGGCGCUUAAUGGAGUUGAGCGAGAUGAGCAAGAGUGGAAAAAGAUUUUCCUAGAAGCAGGUUUUAAGGACUACAAAAUUAUACCAGUUCUAGGUGUCCGAUCCAUCGUUGAGCUUUAUCCUUAAAUGCUCUUUGAUCAAGACCUUCGAAAAGUAAGCGAGUGUUGAACAAAGCACAAGAAGUUAACAAUCUAGAAGAAUAAAAAACGUUAUUAUAUUUUCCUAGUAUGCUAUAUAUAUUAUAUAUACUAGUACAAUGCACGAUCUCGUCAAUAAACUUGGUAUGUAUAAGUGGAUUUAGUAUAUACUAAGUCGAGACUUGUGUAUUAUUCAGCAUUUCCAUAAGCUCGGCGCUCUGUGUACCAGAAAAUAACUCAGUUGUGAUCAUCAUGUGGCUUGACUUUCCAUGUACUUCUUUGCAAUAAAUAUUAUAUAUUUGGUAUAUAUACCUCUAAUGUUAUAUAUUUAGUAUAUAUUUUUUUCAGAGGUGGCUCACAAUUUGGCUCUCCUCUAAAAAUAGGUGGACCAAAAUAAAAUUGCUACUUUUUGACAAUCAAGUCGAAUGAAUACUAUUUUUAUAUCAAACUUGUACUACUCGAAGGGAUCUAAAGCUUUGUGUACUCAACGAAUUUUACAUUUGAAAUAAUUUAAGGCCCCAAAAAAUAUUUUAACAUAAUUUGAAGAAUGUCAAUAUUUUUUCAAAUCAAUUCAGAUGGGGAAGCAAUCUAGACCAAAGUUAAUUAUAGUACUUGAAGGCAUCUCCAACUGUAUAGUUGACUAUUUUUUAUUUGGAUUCAUGUAGUGCCUAGAAAUUCUAUUUAAAAUUUUAGAUUUUGAUUUUUUUUAUUUUCAGUGUACCUCAGAUGGAGAAGUGACAUAAACUAUUUUAUUACUUGAAAUUAUGCAACUUCAUAGUAUACAACAACCUUUUAAUUUGAAUCAUUUUGGAUCUAGCUAGAAAUUCUAUUUUUGAAUUAAUGAUUCUUAAUAUUUUUUUGAUUUUUUUAAAAAAAUAAACAAAAGUUGUAGUACUCGAAGAGGUCUCACACUUUCCAGUUCAAACUUUUUUCAUUUGAUUUCAUUUAGGGUCUCAAAAAUACAUUACAAUAUUUAAUAAAGUGAAUAAAAUAAAUGUAUCUGUUACAUGGUCAUAAGGAAUUUUGAGGUCCUCCAACAGCUUUCUAAUUAGAUCUUGAAAUACUAACAUCAUCGCUAUUUCUGAUUUCUCACUACCUAAAAAUAGAGAGCUGAGCUAAUAUUAUUCUCCCAAGUAGGGAUGAAAACGGAUCAGAUACGGACGGAUAUCAUCUAUACCACAUUUGGUUUUAUAUUUUUGGUCGAAUUCGGAUUCGAAUACGGAUAAUAUCAAUCCUGUCGGAUAAGAUAUAAUUGGAUGUCGAUAUCAUAAAUAUACGAUUUAAGUAUUCGGAUACGGAUAUGGUAUCGGAUGUUGAAUAUUCGGACUCGGAUACGGACAGACCUAAACUCCUCUAAACAAAUUCGGUGACGAAUACGGUCGGAAAAUAUUUGUACCAUUUUCAUCCCUACUCCCAACUUCCCAAGUGUGUCUCAGCUCUAGCUCUAUGAUGUGAUGCUGGAUUUGUAAUUUGUAUACUAAAUUAGAGUGGUUUAAAUAUUUACAUUUAAUCUAAAAUAAAAAUAAAUAAGUCACGUAAAUACACAUUACGUGCCUACAACUCCAGAUUCAGGAUUUCCUAGAGUUACGAGUGACCGGUACUAGGAAAUCCAUAUAUUUCCUAGAGCUAGAGCUUUGCCUCAUAUAGAGCUCUUGAACGGUGUUAAGAUAUAUGAAAACUUUUUUAUGAGAAUGACUCUCCAAAUAAGGAUUAAAAGAGUGAACUAAGGAAAGAGCGUUGGAGAUGCUCUAGGAACCUCAAUUCAAGGAAAUUACGCGUGUCAAAGUCGUUGAGUUAAAUACUUAUACUUAAAUCGCCGAAGAGAGAAAGGGAAAGAGAGCUUGCGGAUGCAACUUCGCUGGCUAGUAGCGUCAAUUACGAACGGUACAUAUACCGGUACCGUUGGUUGUUAUGGAUGUGCACAAGUUUACUCCAUUGAUUGGACGGCCUGAGAAGCCUUGUCUACUUAUAAAUAAUUAAAUACCACCCCAGCCAACUCCUCCAUUGUACCAGCUUAUCCAUCCCUUGCAUGCAUUAGGCCUUGUUUCUUGUUUAGUUCCCAUGCAAAAAGUUUCUGACCUACUAUAGCACUUUUAUUUGUAUGAGGCAAUUAUUAUCUAAUCAUGGACUAACUAGGCUUAAUAGAUUCCUCACAAAUUACAAGUAAACUAUGAAAUUAGUUACUUUUUUAUCUAUAUUUAUGUGCAAGAUUUGAUGUGAUGAAGAAUCUUAAAAAGUUUUUGGAUUUUGGAAUAAUUCUUCAUCAUAUUAAAUCUUACGGCACACGCAUUGAGUACUAAAUAUAGAUGAAAAUAAAAAAUAAUUUAUGAAACAAAUCUUUUGAGCCUAGUUAGUUUAUAGUUGGACAAUAAUUAUCAAAUAUAAAUAAAAAUAUUAAAAUCCAAAAACUUUUCGAACUAAAAAGAGACUUAAAUAAGGCCUUAGCAGUCUUUACUCCCUGACUCUUUAGCAAGAGGGACACUGGGCACAGCUGAUUGAUGAUGUGGCGGAGGGGAUUAUGAAGCAGGCGGUCAUGGGCCUGGUCAUGGGCCUGGGAGAGGCACGAGUAGUACUGGAUGGGUAUGGUCGGAAAGUGUGCUGAGAGUCAGGGAACUGGAUGGGCUAGGCAGAGAAUAAUUUGCGAGAGAAUUUUUAAAAAUCUAAUUAGUUUAUUAUUAGAUACUAAUUGUCAAAUAAAUAAAAAUAUUAUAUCUGUUAAACUUUAACCCCUUUAAUUAAGUAUACUUGCAUAAUAAGUUAUUAAUAAAUAAAUAACUGCUUAUAUACUCGAACCUAUCCGGACUCGUAUUGCAUAUAUUCGGUGCUGACCUAACCACUCACAUAUGUGCACUGCAUGU